rnacentral:rRNA from 1 species
AUUGAACGCUGGCGGCAAGCCUAACACAUGCAAGUCGAACGAGUGGCGGACGGGUGAGUAAUGUCUGGGAAACUGCCUGAUGGAGGGGGAUAACUACUGGAAACGGUAGCUAAUAACGCAUACCAUCGGAUGUGCCCAGAUGGGAUUAGCGAGUAGGUGUGGUAAAGGCUCACCUAGGCGACGAUCCCUAGCUGGUCUGAGAGGAUGACCAGCCACACUGGAACGGUGACACGGUCCAUCUGCCGACGGGAGGCAGCAGUGGUGACUAUUGCACAAUGGGCGCAAGCCUGUUGCAGCCAUGCCGCGUGUAUGAAGAAGGCCUUCGGGUUGUAAAGUACUGUCAGCGGGGAGGCGUUACCCGCAGAAGAAGCACCGGCUAACUCCGUGCCAGCAGCCGCGGUAAUAC